GGACAAAGGCAUAUUUCUGAAAACCAGGACCACAAGUGGCACUCACAUCAGAAGCAGAAACUACACUUAACUUGGAUUCUUGGAAACAGACAACAGACACACAUUGAUUGGCAACAAGCUUAUUUAUAGCACUACGACGAGCACUGGACUUAAGCCUCCUAACAUUUCAUAAAAGGAUUCUGAAACAUUCCAUGUACACAAGUACGACAGACAACAACAGGCAGAACAAAGUAGCUCAAAUAGCCGUCUUC
rnacentral:lncRNA from 1 species